UGAGGAAUAUUGGACAAUGGAGGGAACUCUGACCCAGCCAUGCCGCGUGCAGGAUGAAGGCGUUAUGCGUUGUAAACUGCUUUUAUAUAGGAAGAAAUAGUCCUUGCGAGGAAAGUUGACGGUACUAUAUGAAUAAGCACCGGCUAACUCCGUGCCAGCAGCCGCGGUAAUACGGAGGGUGCAAGCGUUGUCCGGAUUUAUUGGGUUUAAAGGGUGCGUAGGCGGUUUAUUAAGUCAGUGGUGAAAGACGGUCGCUCAACGAUUGCAGUGCCAUUGAUACUGGUAGACUUGAGUAUGAUUGAGGUAGCUGGAAUGGAUAGUGUAGCGGUGAAAUGCAUAGAUAUUAUCCAGAACACCAAUUGCGUAGGCAAGUUACUAAGUCAUAACUGACGCUGAGGCGCGAAAGUGUGGGUAUCAAACAGGAUUAGAUACCCACGUAGUCCCUGAGCGGGCUGGCAAGGCGCAU
rnacentral:rRNA from 1 species